rnacentral:misc_RNA from 1 species
UUUCCGUAGGUGAACCUGCGGAAGGAUCAUUAAUAAAUGGUCUACGUUUUUUAAGUAGACGCUUAAUAAUCCUACCCUUUGUGAAUUUGUUGUUUUGAAUAAUUUUUUUUUAAAAUUAUUGAUGUCUUUCCCUGUUGAAUUGGUUGUCUUAAUGGCAAAUGAUUCGCAGGGGAGUGUCAGUAAUUUCUAAAAAGACCUUUUUUAAAAUUAAACUUUUUGUAUUCAUUUGUCUAAAAAAUUAUUUUUAUAAUAUAAAAACAACUUUUGACAAUGGAUCUCUUGGUUCUCGCAACGAUGAAGGAACGCAGCAAAAUGCGAUAAGUAGUGUGAAUUGCAGAAUACGUGAAUCAUCGAAUCUUCGAACGCAUAUUGCACUUUUUUAGUUUACUAAAAAAGUAUGUCUGUUUGAGUAUCAGUAAAUAUUCUCAUAAAACUUUUUGUUUUUAUGGUUAUGAGUGUUUUACAACGAUACAAGUUGUUUCACUUUAAAUUUUUUUUAAAAUUUGAAUUUUUCUAAUUUUAAAAUAAAAAUUGGAUAAAUUUUCCCGUAAAAAAGGAAUAACCUAGACAAUUUUAAUUUUUGAUUAGAAUUCUUCAAUUAUAAAGGAAAAUUUAACUAAAUAACUUGAUCUCAAAUCAGAUAAGAGUACCCGCUGAACUUAAGCAUAUCAAUAAGCGGAGGAAAAGAAACUAACAAGGAUUCCCUUAGUAACGGCGAGUGAAGCGGGAAGAGCUCAAAUUUGAAAUCUUCAAGGUUUUACCUUGACGAAUUGUAGUUUAAAGAAGUGUUUUCUGUUGAAGUUUUGGUAAAAGUUCUUUGGAAUAGGAACAUCAUAGAGGUGAGAAUCCCGUAUUUGACCAUUAUUUUCAGCUGUGUGAUACACUUUCAAAGAGUCGGAUUGUUUGGGAAUGCAGUCCAAAAUGGGUGGUAAAUUUCAUCUAAAGCUAAAUAUUGGCGAGAGACCGAUAGCGAACAAGUACCGUGAGGGAAAGAUGAAAAGAACUUUGAAAAGAGAGUUAAACAGUACGUGAAAUUGUCAAAAGGAAGCGUUUGACACCAGUGUUGUUUUCUCGAAAAU